rnacentral:rRNA from 1 species
CCUACGGGAGGCAGCAGUAGGGAAUAUUGCUCAAUGGGGGAAACCCUGAAGGAGCAACGCCGCGUGGAGGAUGAAGGUUUUCGGAUUGUAAACUCCUGUUGUUAGAGAAGAGAAUGACGGUAACUAACGAAUAAGCACCGGCUAACUCCGUGCCAGCAGCCGCGGUAAAACGGAGGGUGCAAGCGUUACGCGUAAUGACUGGGCGUAAAGAGCGCGGAGGCGGGAUUUCAAGUCAGAUGUGAAAUCCUGUGGCUUAACCAUAGAACUGCAUUUGAAACUGUUAUUCUAGAGUAUGGGAGAGGUGAGUGGAAUUCUUGGUGUAGCGGUCAAAUCCGUAGAGAUCACGAGGAAUACUCAUUGCGAAGGCGACCUGCUAGACCAUAACUGACGCUGAUGCGCGAAAGCGUGGGGAGCAAACAGGAUUAGAUACCCCUGUAGUC